rnacentral:rRNA from 1 species
AGUGAACGCUGGCGGUAGGCCUAACACAUGCAAGUCGAACGGCAGCACAGUAAGAGCUUGCUCUUACGGGUGGCGAGUGGCGGACGGGUGAGGAAUACAUCGGAAUCUACUUUUUCGUGGGGGAUAACGUAGGGAAACUUACGCUAAUACCGCAUACGACCUACGGGUGAAAGCAGGGGAUCUUCGGACCUUGCGCGAUUGAAUGAGCCGAUGUCGGAUUAGCUAGUUGGCGGGGUAAAGGCCCACCAAGGCGACGAUCCGUAGCUGGUCUGAGAGGAUGAUCAGCCACACUGGAACUGAGACACGGUCCAGACUCCUACGAGAGGCAGCAGUGGGGAAUAUUGGACAAUGGGCGCAAGCCUGAUCCAGCCAUACCGCGUGGGUGAAGAAGGCCUUCGGGCUGUAAAGCCCUUUUGUUGGGAAAGAAAAGCAGCAGGUUAAUACCCCGCUGUUCUGACGGUACCCAAAGAAUAAGCACCGGCUAACUUCGUG